GUGUAUAUAUGUCUCUGCCCUAUUACGUGUCAGUAACAUUCUCGACACGGUUCAUUUUUACGGCGGCUCAGUUUUGUCUUAAGAAUAAACAUAAUUGAUAAGUUUCUUUCCCCUGCAUUCCUCGAUCGCACUUGUAAAUAGCACAUUGGUCUCAAGACAUUGGUACACUAUACGUUACAACACUUGCCGUCAGUACUCAAAAUUGGAAAAAUAUUAAAUAAGAAGGUUGCCAGCAAGAUGAAAAGAACAAUGCAGUUCAAAAGUCAAAAUGUGGAUAAGCUGCGGUACAAGGUCCUACUUUUGCAGAUUUUCAUAUUUUGCAUGAAUGAAUUUGAAGUUUAUAUCAUGGAGGGCAGAGAAAGAAAAGAAACACUUCAAUUUUCCUGCUUCUGAAAGAUCUUGUUCGAAGGAUUGAAAUUCAUCACUUAGAAUAAAAAGAGAAAACACAGAAACAAGACCAAAAUAAAUUCAAAGACAAAAGUCAGAUCAGUUAUUAUUUUCAUCACUCAGUCAAUGAAUUGAAGUUCUAUUAAAUAUCUAAAGAUAUUAAAACCACAAUAAUGACUAUGUUCUGUGCUGAAUGGCCAAAAAGUGGACUAUACAUUACGAUCACACAAUGCUGGAUGAUAAGAAACUAUUAAUUUUUUGGGUGGAGGGAUAUCCUGAAAAAAAAAUAGAUUUAUGUAAAAAGCUACUAGUAUGUUAAGCCUAUUAAUAGAGUUUUCAUUGAUUUCAAAUGGGAAAAAUUGUGUUUCAAAAAAGUAUUCUAGAAUUCAUAAAUAAACAUAUAUUGAUACUUACA